rnacentral:rRNA from 1 species
GACGAACGCUGGCGGCGUGCUUAACACAUGCAAGUCGAACGGAAAGGCCCUGCUUUUGUGGGGUGCUCGAGUGGCGAACGGGUGAGUAACACGUGAGUAACCUGCCCUUGACUUUGGGAUAACUUCAGGAAACUGGGGCUAAUACCGGAUAGGAGCUCCUGCUGCAUGGUGGGGGUUGGAAAGUUUCGGCGGUUGGGGAUGGACUCGCGGCUUAUCAGCUUGUUGGUGGGGUAGUGGCUUACCAAGGCUUUGACGGGUAGCCGGCCUGAGAGGGUGACCGGCCAGAUUGGGACUGAGAGACGGCCCAGACUCCGAAGGGAGGCAGCAGUGGGGAAUAUUGCACAAUGGGCGGAAGCCUGAUGCAGCAACGCCGCGUGCGGGAUGACGGCCUUCGGGUUGUAAACCGCUUUCGCCUGUGACGAAGCGUGAGUGACGGUAAUGGGUAAAGAAGAACCGGCUAACUACGUG